rnacentral:rRNA from 1 species
UACGUAGGUGACCAGCGUUGUCCGGAUUUACUGGGCGUAAAGAGCGCGCAGGCGGUCGUUCAAGUCGAGUGUGAAAGCCCCCGGCUCAACUGGGGAGGGUCACUCGAUACUGAUCGACUUGAAGGCAGGAGAGGGAAGCGGAAUUCCCGGUGUAGUGGUGAAAUGCGUAGAGAUGUGGAGGAACACCGAUGGCGUAGGCAGCCUCCUGGGCCAAUCCUGACGCUCAGGCACGAAAGCGUGGGGAUCAAACAGG